rnacentral:lncRNA from 1 species
ACUCAGUACAGAUUCAUAUAAUGCGGUAUUUUAGAGGAACCAAUUAACAGUACUAAGUGAAGUAUUCCUGUACUUACUUUCUUUGAUGAGUCAACAGAAAUCUCAUUCCAUUCACUCUUUUCAAGUGAUGAGCAGGAAAAUGAAUGGACUUUGCAUAGAAAAAUUUUAAUUGGAGAACAAAAUGCCUUAUUAAGAUGCAACCUAAAUUUCUGCUUUAAAAUGAGAUGACUUGUCAUCUAAGACCUGCAGGGGAGAAAAGCAUCUGAUUCUGACAGGAUAAUAUUAAGAGAUAGUGAAAGUUCCUGCAUCUUGUUGAUCCAGAACUGCUUUUGUCAAUCUGUCAGAUGUGUGUAUGAUUGGGUCGCUUCCUAGUUCAGUGAAAGUGGGUCCAGCUUGUAUUAAUUCACAAAUGCAAGAAAUCAGAGGAUUUGCCUAAGUCUUGCUGAUCCAUCAAUUUUUUUGCAAUGAUAGGAAAGAUACUUGAUAGGCUAUUCUCUGACAGUCUAUUCCCAACUUUGGCAAUAAGAAACUUCAUCCUUUUGCAGUUUAGAUUUUGUUCUGACAAGUCAGUUUAUCUUGUCUUACACAGAAUCCAGAGAACAGAGAAACUACUUGUUCAUAUCAAUUGCUGUGGUGGAUGAAUUAAGGAGAGUACUUCUGCCCUCUUCUCUGUUUAAGUUGAUGAGAAGCUUCAUUUGCACACAGACCAUUGAGUUUUCCAUUCUGAUUAUUGUAUGAAGGAGUCUUCAGCAUGAAUCUGCAGGGGUCCUGCAUUGGACCCGUUGUGAAAUGUCUUAGCCAACACUGCAUUGAACUUUGUUAUGCUGGAUGGGAUAUAGUUACUGCCAUGUGCAAAUGAUAUUAUGAUAGUAAUUACCAGCCUGAGUAGAAAAUCAAUGGAAAAGAUGGGCAAUGAAAUGAUAGUGACGCUUGUUUAAUGAGGGUAAAGGAAUAAGCUUUUUUUUAAUUCUGAGAAAUGAAUCCCUGAUUGUGAUGUAAUUGGGUAAGUAUAUUGCUUGGUAAAUCAAUACAUCAGACUUAUGAGCAAACCAUCCAAAGGACAAAUAAGCUUAAAUACCUAGGCAUUCAAAUUGAUCACGUACUGAAGUGGUUAUCAUACCUCAGAAAUUUUGAAAUGGAUGUAUCUAGCGACAGUUCAGCUGUCACAGCUAGUUAGAUUAAAUUACAAAAGUAGGAAGAGUCUUCAUUUCAACUAUAAGAAAAUAAUUGAAAUGUCGACAGGCUGUGCAUGUGGUGUAUAAUGGAACUCAGUCUCAUCAAUGAAGAGAAGUGAAUUGCUGCUGAGAGUGCAAUGUGUUUGAUAGCAUUAAGGAUUAAGAAGGUGCAUAGAAUUGUUUCUGUGCAGGCUCUGUUGGUCUUGACUGUUCUGAUUCCUUUGCCAUUGAAGAGGAUACUAUUUAUUAUGAAUACUGAUUUUGUUUUCCCGAACUUUUUGCUUUCUCGAGAUUCUGGAAUUCCCGAAUUAGUAAUCAGUUACCUCGAGAUUCUAAAAAAUUUUUUGUUAAAAAAUACCUGUUUUUAAUAAGGAUAAAAACAAAAUGAGAAAAAAUCGCG